AAAUAAUUCAUUUUUCAGUUUUUGGAUACAAUGUUUGACUCUUCAUCUUAUUUGAAUUUUUUUUGCGAUUAAUAUUUUUAUUUUUACUAGAUGAUAAAACAUGAAUAGUACUUUACACGUGACUAACUUUUUUAAGUUCUUAUACAAAUUUUUCAAAUAAGACGAAUGGUCAAACGUUGUACACAGAAAUCAAAAAAUGAAGUUUUU
rfam:Oryza brachyantha chromosome 5, whole genome shotgun sequence.